AUUGAACGCUGGCGGCAGGCCUAACACAUGCAAGUCGAGCGAGCGGCGGACGGGUGAGCAAUGUAUGGGCAUUGACCGAUAGAGGGGGAUAACUACUGGAAACGGUGGCUACUACCGCACACGACAGGAUGACCCAUAUGGGAUUAGCUAGUAGGUGAGGUAAAGUCUCACCUAGGCGACGAUCUCUAGCUGGUCUGUGAGGAUGAUCAGCCACCCUGAGACUGAGACACGGCCCAGACUCCGACGGAGGCAGCAGUGGGGAAUAUUGCACAAUGGGCGAAAGCCUGAGGCAGCCAUGCCGCGUGUAUGAAGAAGGCCUUAGGGUUGUAAAGUACUUUCAGCGGGGAGGCGUUACCCGCAGAGGAAGCACCGGCUAACUCCGUGCCAGCAGCCGCGGUAAUAC
rnacentral:rRNA from 1 species